rfam:Oryza sativa (indica cultivar-group) chromosome 1, whole genome shotgun sequence.
AAAGACUCAAUUCCUGGGUUUCCGUGUCCAACGUUUAAUUAUUCGUCUUAUAUGAAGUUUUUUUUAUGAUUAGUAUUUUUAUUGUUGUUAGAUGAUAAAACAUGAAUAAUAUUUUAUGUGUGAUUUAUCUUUUUAAUUUUUUUUCAUAUUUUUUUAAAAAUAAAACGGACGGUCAAACGUUAGACACGGAAACCCAAGAAUUAAA